CAAAAAUAUUUCUUUAAUAUUUGUCAUUAUUGCUACAAAUGGAGACACAAGAUGGUUCCAGAUGAGUUUGUCUGAAUAACCUUGUGCAAAAAACGGGAGUGUUUAAGAUUCAAAUAUAAAAGUGUUUUCUUAGCUUGCAGGGUUUAUUAAAUCUAGGCCUUGAUAUAUAAUGUCACCAUGGAUGACCAAUCAGAAUUGCAUCAAAUGUUCUCAACAUUGCUUAAAUUAAAUUAGAACUGUCAUGAUACCCAGUGCAUUCACUAACAAAUUAAACUAUGUUGUAAAGUGUUACCUCAUAAACAUGAGAGGUUAAAUAAAUGAACACUCCAAUAGCAGUUACAGUCUUAGAACAUUUUAUUGUUGUCUGAACACCCGUCCCACCCCAACCCUCAGUUCCCCAUGAGAUAUAUGCCUCUGUGUCCUCUUCCUGUCCCACAAACACAUGGUCAAAAACACAGUUCUUUUUCAGUUCAUUCAGUAUCAUACAGAAACACUUGUAAGGAAACAAAUAAACAAAAACGCACAAAAAAACAAAAAACAAGGACCUGGCUCAACAGUUGUCAAGAGUGGCUUAAGUCCUUCCUCUCUCAUAGUGACACCCUAGGGAUAGUUAUGCGGUAUUAGCAUAGGUGACUACCAUUAGAAGCUGGCUAAUGUCUUUGGAAUGAGCAUGGUUAUAAAAAAAAAAAAAAAAAAAAAAAAAAAAAUUACAUCGGAGGGUUUUAAAGUGACUGAAUGGGCCUUCUGAAGGGGCGACUUUGGAAUGGCUUUUAGAGAUCCUCCUCAGCUGACUGAGCAUUUGUCAGAUCUUUUGGCGGCAUACAGUAUUUAGGAAAUAGGUCUUAUACAGUACAUUCAACUAUUUCUGUCACUUUUCAAUUGUUAAAUCUGGCCGAACAAACUUUAUUCACAUACUAUUCAAAGAACACAAAUAUACAUCUAUAUGUACAUAAACUUUCCACUUGAAAUCUGAGUGUCCAGGCAUUUUCCAAGAAAGUCCAAAGAGGGAUUUAGUGAAGAAAGUCACAACACUGUCUUUGUAAUCUGUUCAUUCAGUAUUUUCUCUGGCUCCCUUAUAGAAACAGUUUCUCCAAAAUUGAAAAUUCUGUCAUCAUAUUGUCCCAAAUCCCAUAAGACUUUAAAUCAAAAUGUAUCCUUUGUGUUUCACAGCAGAAAUGAAGUCAUAUCAGUUUGGAACAGUAAAUAAUGGCAGAUUUCUCAUUUUUGAGUGAGUGGUUCCUUUAACUACAAUAGCUUGUUAACACCUUCAGUCAUCUGAUGCGAUCGUGAGCUGUCAGUCAGUGUGGACUGAGGCGUCAGUCUGUCUCAGUCUGAGAUGGUUUAUGCAGAGUAAUGUAAUCAAUGGGAAAACGCCUCUGUGAUUUGCUAACUUGGCAUCUUGCUGAUACGGCAAUUUCACAGUUGGGGUUAUAAAUCUGAGAGAUGUGUGUUUGAGUAAUACUGAUGUGGAUACUCUGACUAUUUUAUUUAGUUCUUUUAGUUGUUAGUUCUGUAAUUCAAUGGUGGUACAUUACAGUUUGGUGUUUUUAAUCACUGAACUCCUGGCUGUUAGUUUCUACUUACUGCACUAAACUCUCUGUCACCUUCCACAAAUUAAUUACAAAUUACAGUCUGAAGCGCUUUUUUUUUUUCAACCAACAGUUCCUGUGGUUCAGUGGUAGAGCAUUGCAUUAGCAGCGCAAAAGGUUGUGGGUUCAAUUCCCAGGGAACACACAUACUGAUAAAAAAAUAAAAUAAAAAAAUUAUAGUCUGAAUGCACUGUAAGUUGCUUUGGAUAAAAGCGUCUGCUAAAUGCGUAAAUGUAAGAAGGUUAUUUGACUCAAGAAAAUUUUGAUUUUAACCUCAGAAAGUCACAUUAAAUUUUACAGUACAGUAUAUAAGUAUAUUUUCAAUUCAUUUUCUAUGGAACAAUCUUUGGUAACUCCGUUACCAAUCUCUAAGAAUCUUAAUUAAAAGCAAGAUAUUUUGAUGAUUUGAUUUUACAGUGUGGCAACAAAAACAAAACAAAAAAUUGCAACUGUAUAACUAUAAAUAUAUAGAUUUAAUAAUGGACUUCUGAGGUAUGAAAGGUCAAAAUUACCAUCUUAAAACAGAAAUUCGACUAGCUAACAUGGGAUUUGUACCUCUGAUGCUUGAAAAAAAAAAAAAACCUCAUCAGACACCACAGUAAUGUAUUCAUGAAUUGCACACUUGACAAUAAGAUGAUUAAGCAUUGUGUAUCCAGGCUCUUAAAAUGGCAAAUAAAACCCAUCACAUACUGCAAUGCUGUGAAUAUGUAAACUUAAACGAAUGCUUUGAAAAAUCUUGAGCCCAGGAUUCAGCUGUACACUCAAAGCUGCACAAUUAUUAAACAAAUCCACUGAAAGAACACGAGUCAGUCCGAUAAAUAGUUACAAGUGAAAAGAAGAAGAUUGGCGGUGUUCCUUCUGCUCCCUUUCUCCUCACUUCUGACACAGUUUGGCCUCCGUUCCCGUUUUGCAGCUCCGUUGUAAAAGGACUAUUAACUGUGCUCUCUCAAAACCACUGAGUGAGAGGAUAAAGGUCAGGGUGUAAUCCACCACAAGCUUUAGAAUGCCAUCAUGUCUGCCCCUAAUGUACUUCCUUUGCUUUAAGCACACAGGCCACUGUUAGCACUUGAGACUUGCACCUUAAGACAAGAGAUUUCCAGCAGACGUUAAGUAUAUAUAUAUACAAGUAAGAGGAAAAAGACAACAGUUACAACAAGAUAGGAAAGCCACAGUGGGGCAACCUGGCCUCCCAACUCUCCUGUCAAUCUCCUCUUGAGACAUAUGGCACCAUAUAUAGAAAUAAACUCUGCCUUCGAUGAUACAAGAACCAAUCCUCAGAGAAAAGACAUGUAUCGCUAAAUGUUGGUGAAACAGCAUUUCCUUUGCGAUGAAGAGGCAUUGGUGGAUGUUGGGGCGAACCUGGCCUCCCAACUCUCCUGUCAAUCUCCUCUUGAGACAUAUGGCACCACUAUAUAGAAAUAAAACUACUGCCUUCGAUGAUACAAGAACCAAUCCUCAGAGAAAAGACAUGUAUCGCUAAAUGUUGGUGAAACAGCAUUUCCUUUGCGAUGAAGAGGCAUUGGUGGAUGUGGAUGUCAACGUUUGUGCAUGCAUUUGUGUGUUUGUCCUUUUGGUGCUUUUUAAGUGGCAUGGCAGAUGCCCAACUCCUUUUUAAGAGCCAUGGUAAAGACACCCAGCUCUCAACUCCACUGUGCUGCACGUGAAGAGACCUUCUCCAAGUGAUGUUUAUCUUUGCUCUUCAGUCCAGCCAGCCAGAGAGAAACAGGCAGGUGUAAAAUAAAACUGCCAUUUUUAGAAGCGGCCCACUAUCUCUGCAAGCAGAGAUAAACCAACCACACCGCACCAAGCCAGGCUCUGGAAUUGCUCACAGUUCUGAG
rnacentral:lncRNA from 1 species